GCUAGGGUGGCGGAAUUGGCAGACGCACGGGACUUAAAAUCCCGAGGUUGGUGUUUUCAACCGUACCGGUUCGACUCCGUUCCUCGGCA
rnacentral:tRNA from 1 species